GACGCUAUCGUAUAACGGUUAAUACACUUGCCCUUCACGCAGGGAACGCCGGUUCGAUUCCGGCUAGCGUUA